rnacentral:tRNA from 1 species
GGUUUUAUAUUCAAUUAAUGAUUUUAGAUUGCAAAUCUAAAGGUGUAUAUAAUACUAAAACCU